CCUAUGGGAGGCAGCAGUCAGGAAUAUUGCGCAAUGGGCGAAAGCCUGACGGGGCAACGCCGCGUGAGUGAUGAAGGUCUUCGGGUUGUAAAGCCCUGUGGGGAGGGGAAGAAAAGUUGCCUGGCUAAUAUCCAGGCGACUCUUGACGGUACCCUCAAAGGAAGCACCGGCUAACUCCGUGCCAGCAG
rnacentral:rRNA from 1 species